rnacentral:lncRNA from 1 species
GUCCCUGGUGGAUAGUUGUCUAUGAUUGUUUAUUCGUUGGUCCCUGGUGGAUAGUUUAUGUUCAUUGUUUAUUCGUUGGUCCCUGGUUGAUAGUUGUCUCAUUGUUUAUUCGUUGGUCCCUGGUGGAUAGUUGUUCUCAUUGUUUAUUCGUUGGUCCCUGGUUGAUAGUUGUGUUCAUUGUUUAUUCGUUGGUCCCUGGUUGAUGUUUGUGUUCAUUGUUUAUUCGUUGGUCCCUGGUGGAUAGUUGUCUCAUUGUUUAUUCGUUGGUCCCUGGUUGAUAGUUGUGUUCAUUGUUUAUUCGUUGGUCCCUGGUGGAUAGUUGUCUCGUUCAAUUUGGCAAUAAUGACACAUAUCCUAGUAUUUACAUCUUGAUAUCAACAUAAUUUA